GAGCCCAGCAACUCUGUCCCUGGGUUUCUCCUUUUCUAGGUGGCCAACAGUUUGUUGGGGCAGAUUUGAGUCCCUGAUGUAUCCCUAGCUGCACCAUGGAAAACAGCACAUCCAUUUUGUAAGAGUAUCCACCACAGGCAUUUAAUGGAAAUAAACCAUUCUGACAGCCCAAAAGGGUGCUUCAGUCGAUUGUGGAAGCUUGAAACAAAGCAGGAAGAAUUGUUUAGGCACAGCACACCCAAUGAGAAUGGAACCAACCAACACUUCUAGUUCUUUUUCAACCUGCGUACCAGUGUCUAGGGCUAAAGAAGAUGAGGACAGCCAACCAUUCCAAGGAUAGAAGCCUGAAUUAACCAAGAUAAUUGGCAAAGGGUCACAGAAAAUGUCCUUUUAAAAAUAAUAAUGCUUACUCUUUUUCUUAACUGUC
ensembl:lncRNA novel transcript